GUUUGAGGGAAGGGGCCUUUGAUUUUCCUCUGGUAGUUUCCCCAAUCUGGAUUUACAUUGAUAUUGCCACAUGAGGAAAAGAGAAGGAAUCUGUGAAAUGAGGCUAUGAUGGUCCACAGCAAAAUGCCUCCUGAUCUGGUGUUCGGAGUCUUGGUUGCUUUACUUCAGUCUGUUUUCACCCAGAAUAACCCCAAUGAUAUUUAUAUUUUCAAUAAAAUACAUGACAUUGUGUUCCAUGGACCAAUCAAUCCUGGAAGUGGCCCCGCUGCCUGGUGCUGGACAUCACAUUCCGGGCAAGGAAUGCAACAGCUGAUAGGUUUACGGAGAGAUAAUUCCGGUCCGUGGAUGCAACAUUUGAACCCUGAAUUCAGACAUUUUGAGUUGUUCCACACCAUGAAAUGCGAUGAUGGUACUGUACAUCUGAGGAUAAGCAGUCCCACAUUUAAGUUUGCAGGAUCCCUCAUCUUGGCACAAACAUCGCCGGGUUAUAAAAUCCUGAAACAGUACGAAAUAUUUGGUA